rnacentral:rRNA from 1 species
AGCAUAUCAAUAAGCGGAGGAAAAGAAACUAACAAGGAUUCCCCUAGUAACUGNGAGNGAAGNGGAAAAGCUCAAAUUUGAAAUCUGACGGUCCUGCCGUCCGAGUUGUAUUCUGGAGAAGCGUCUUCCGUGCCGGACUGUGUACAAGUGCCUUGGAACAGGACGUCACAGAGGGUGAGAAUCCCGUCUUUGACACGGACCCCCGGUGCUAUGCGAUGCGCUCUNGAAGAGUCGAGUUGUUUGGGAAUGCAGCUCAAAAUGGGUGGUAAAUUCCAUCUAAAGCUAAAUAUUGGCGAGAGACCGAUAGCGAACAAGUACCGUGAGGGAAAGAUGAAAAGCACUUUGGAAAGAGAGUAAAACAGUACGUGAAAUUGUUGAAAGGGAAACGCUUGAAGUCAGUCGCGUCUGCCGGAACUCAGCCUUGNUUCUGCUUGGUGCACUUUCCGGCCCGACGGGCCAGCAUCGGUUUCGAGUGGCGGACACUGGCGAGGGAAAGGUGGCAGCUCCGGCUGUGUUAUAGCCCCUUGUCGCAAACGCUGCUGGGGACCGAGGAAUCCGGCGCAAGCCUGGGAUGC